rnacentral:rRNA from 8 species
UUAAAUUGAAGAGUUUGAUCAUGGCUCAGAUUGAACGCUGGCGGCAGGCCUAACACAUGCAAGUCGAACGGUAACAGGAAGCAGCUUGCUGCUUCGCUGACGAGUGGCGGACGGGUGAGUAAUGUCUGGGAAACUGCCUGAUGGAGGGGGAUAACUACUGGAAACGGUGGCUAAUACCGCAUAACGUCGCAAGACCAAAGAGGGGGACCUUCGGGCCUCUUGCCAUCAGAUGUGCCCAGAUGGGAUUAGCUAGUUGGUGAGGUAACGGCUCA